rfam:Candidatus Atelocyanobacterium thalassa isolate ALOHA, complete genome.
GAUAAGUAAAAAUCGUCACUGGAUUAAGUGUGGGAGACAUGACACUCCUUACUUCUCCUAUUACGGGAUCAUAAAUUCCAUGCGAGUAACACCAAAAAACGAAUAAAAAAGCUCCUAGUCCCAGCAUAAUCAAAUGAUGACCAAGAAUAAAUCCUAGUUUAAUUGGAUCAUUCCA